rnacentral:rRNA from 1 species
GUGCGAAGCCAGCCGCAAGAUGAGAACUCCAUUGAGGGUCGUCAGAGACGAUGACGUUGAUAGGAUGCAGGUGUAAAGACAGCGAUGUCAAAGCCGAGCAUUACUAAUUGCCCGAACACUUUCUUUAG